rnacentral:rRNA from 1 species
GCAAGUCGAACGGAAUACUUCGGUAUUUAGUGGCGGACGGGUGAGUAACGCGUGGGGAUCUGCCUAGAGGUCUGGAAUAACUUUUGGAAACGGGAGCUAAUACCGGAUACACCCUUCGGGGGAAAGAUUUAUUGCCUUUAGAUGAACCCGCGUUAGAUUAGGUAGUUGGUAGGGUAAAGGCCUACCAAGCCAAUGAUCUAUAGCUGGUUUGAGAGGAUGAUC